UACAGAGGGUGCGAGCGUUAAUCGGAAUUACUGGGCGUAAAGCGUGCGUAGACGGUUUCGUAAGUCGGGUGUGAAAUCCCCGGGCUCAACCUGGGAAGUGCACCCGAAACUGAGUAGCUAGAGUACGAAAGAGGGUCGCGGAAUUCCCGGUGUAGAGGUGAAAUUCGUAGAUAUCGGGAGGAACACCGGUGGCGAAGGCGGCGACCUGGGUCGAGACUGACGCUGAGGCGCGAAAGCGUGGGGAGCAAACAGG
rnacentral:rRNA from 1 species